rnacentral:rRNA from 1 species
UACGAAGGGGGCUAGCGUUGUUCGGAAUUACUGGGCGUAAAGCGCACGUAGGCGGGUCGUUAAGUCAGGGGUGAAAUCCCAGAGCUCAACUCUGGAACUGCCUUUGAUACUGGCGACCUAGAGUCCGGAAGAGGUUAGUGGAAUUCCCAGUGUAGAGGUGAAAUUCGUAGAUAUUGGGAAGAACACCAGUGGCGAAGGCGGCUAACUGGUCCGGUACUGACGCUGAGGUGCGAAAGCGUGGGGAGCAAACGGG